rnacentral:rRNA from 1 species
GACGAACGCUGGCGGCGUGCUUAACACAUGCAAGUCGAACGGAAAGGCCCUGCUUUUGUGGGGUGCUCGAGUGGCGAACGGGUGAGUAACACGUGAGUAACCUGCCCUUGACUUUGGGAUAACUUCAGGAAACUGGGGCUAAUACCGGAUAGGAGCCCCUGCUGCAUGGUGGGCGUUGGAAAGUUUCGGCGGUUGGGGAUGGACUCGCGGCUUAUCAGCUUGUUGGUGGGGUAGUGGCUUACCAAGGCUUUGACGGGUAGCCGGCCUGAGAGGGUGACCGGCGACAUUGGGCCUGAGAUACGGCCCAGACGGCUACGGGGGGCAGCGGUGGGGAAUAUUGCACAAUGGGCGGAAGCCUGAGGCAGCAACGCCGCGUGCGGGAUGACGGCCUUCGGGUUGUAAACCGCUUUCGCCUGUGACGAAGCGUGAGUGACGGUAAUGGGUAAAGAAGCACCGGCUAACUACGUG